GUGGCGGACGGGUGAGUAACGCGUGGGCAACCUGCCCCAAAGCUCGGGAUAACACUCCGAAAGGAGUGCUAAUACCGGAUGUAGUUGCGCUGCUGCAUGGCAGUGCAAAAAAAGGAGCAAUCCACUUUGGGAUGGGCCCGCGUCUGAUUAGCUAGUUGGUGAGGUAAAGGCUCACCAAGGCGACGAUCUCUAGCUGGUUUGAGAGGAUGAUCAGCCACACUGGGACUGAGACACGGCCCAGACUCCUACGGGAGGCAGCAGUGGGGAAUAUUGCACAAUGAGCGAAAGCUUGAUGCAGCCAUACCGCGUGUGUGAAGAAGGCCCGAGGGUUGUAAAGCACUUUCAAUUGUGAGGAAGAUAGUGUAGUUAAUACCUGCAUUAUUUGACGUUAACUUUAGAAGAAGCACCGGCUAACUCUGUGCCAGCAGCCGCGGUAAUACAGAGGGUGCAAGCGUUAUUCGGAAUUACUGGGCGUAAAGCGCGCGUAGGCGGAAUAUUAAGUCAGUUGUGAAAGCCCUGGGCUCAACCUGGGAACUGCUUCUGAUACUGGUAUUCUAGAGUUUAGUAGAGGGAAGGGGAAUUCCUAGUGUAGCAGUGAAAUGCGUAGAUAUUAGGAGGAACAUCAGUGGCGAAGGCGCCUUCCUGGACUAAAACUGACGCUGAGGUGCGAAAGCGUGGGUAGCGAACGGGAUUAGAUACCCCGGUAGUCCACGCCGUAAACGAUGUCAACUAGUUGUUGGUCUUAUUAAAAAGAUUAGUAACGCAGCUAACGCGAUAAGUUGACCGCCUGGGGAGUACGGUCGCAAGAUUA
rnacentral:rRNA from 1 species